GGCGGCGGACGGGUGAGUAACGCGGGGGUAACCUGCCCUAUACACACGGAUAACAUACCGAAAGGUAUGCUAAUACGAGAUAAUAUAAGAGAUUCACAUGGAUUUCUUAUCAAAGCUGAGGCGGUAUAGGAUGGACCCGCGUCUGAUUAGCUAGUUGGUAAGGUAACGGCUUACCAAGGCGACGAUCAGUAGCCGACCUGAGAGGGUGAUCGGCCACAUUGGAACUGAGACACGGUCCAAACUCCUACGGGAGGCAGCAGUGGGGAAUAUUGCACAAUGGGCGAAAGCCUGAUGCAGCAACGCCGCGUGAGUGAUGAAGGCCUUCGGGUCGUAAAACUCUGUCCUCAAGGAAGAUAAUGACGGUACUUGAGGAGGAAGCCCCGGCUAACUACGUGCCAGCAGCCGCGGUAAUACGUAGGGGGCUAGCGUUAUCCGGAUUUACUGGGCAUAAAGGGUGCGUAGGUGGUCUCUUAAGUCAGGAGUGAAAGGCUACGGCUUAACCGUAGUAAGCUCUUGAAACUGGGAGACUUGAGUGCAGGAGAGGAAAGUGGAAUUCCUAGUGUAGCGGUGAAAUGCGUAGAUAUUAGGAGGAACACCAGUAGCGAAGGCGGCUUUCUGGACUGUAACUGACACUGAGGCACGAAAGCGUGGGGAGCAAACAGGAUUAGAUACCCUGGUAGUCCACGCCGUAAACGAUGAGUACUAGGUGU
rnacentral:rRNA from 1 species